AACGAACGCUGGCGGCAUGCCUAACACAUGCAAGUCGAACGAGACCUUCGGGUCUAGUGGCGCACGGGUGCGUAACGCGUGGGAACCUGCCCUUAGGUUCGGAAUAACUCCCCGAAAGGGGUGCUAAUACCGGAUAAUGUCUUCGGACCAAAGAUUUAUCGCCUUUGGAUGGGCCCGCGUUGGAUUAGCUAGUUGGUAGGGUAAAAGCCUACCAAGGCGACGAUCCAUAGCUGGUCUGAGAGGAUGAUCAGCCACACUGGGACUGGGACACGGCCCAGACUCCUACGGGAGGCAGCAGUGGGUAAUAUUGGACAAUGGGCGAAAGCCUGAUCCAGCAAUGCCGCGUGAGUGAUGAAGGCCUUAGGGUUGUAAAGCUCUUUUACCCGGGAUGAUAAUGACAGUACCGGGAGAAUAAGCUCCGGCUAACUCCGUG
rnacentral:rRNA from 1 species